AUAAAUGUUCAAUACAAAUCCCUAUGCUCAGUAUCUCAACAGUCGUUGAUCAAGACAGUGCAGAAAGUAGCAGCAGCAGGAAUAAUUGCUAGUGGAGUGCUAUCUGGCGAGUGUGAUCAGUUGACUCGGAAACCGUUGAAAAUGUCUCGAAACAUGAGCAGUUUAAGUAUAUGUCUUUUGAUCCUGAUAGCUUUUAAUGUAGCGCUUGGCAAACCGGUGUCGGAACAAGUAGAUUCUUCGGCACUAGCAGCAACAGAUGUUCGUGUUCCGAAAAUGUAUGUCGCAGAAGGUGCAUCUCCCAUUUACCACGCAGGCAUUGCCAGUGUAAACGGUCGGUUUGGAAAGAGCAUACGAGCAUUUACAGUGAAUGAGUUCGAGAAGUAUAUUGGCGGAUUGGCAUGAUAUACCUAACUAUUUUUGAUGUUCUUUUGAAAUUAAGAAAUGCUAAAAUUCUGCAUAGUGCGACGGGAAGUAAAACAUUGGUGUUCUCUUUCACAUUCAGAACUUUUUUGAAAAUCAGUAUUAGUUCCCAUGUACCAGACACCCAAGAUACGUUAAUGUUACCAGUUAUUAAGUUAUACAGAGGCCAUGGAAUUUAAUAAAUCAACGGUUCAAGCGUUCAA